rnacentral:tRNA from 1 species
ACUCGUGGUUUGCUCAGUUGGUAGAGCGCACCGCUAAAAAUGGAGAGGCUCCUGGUUCGAAACUAGGAACAAGUU